GAUGAACGCUGGCGGCGUGCUUAACACAUGCAAGUCGAACGAAGCAUUUGCGACAGAUUUUUUCGGAAUGAAGUUGCUUAUGACUGAGUGGCGGACGGGUGAGUAACGCGUGGGUAACCUGCCGUGUACUGGGGGAUAGCAGCUGGAAACGGCUGGUAAUACCGCAUAAGCGCACAAUGUUGCAUGACAUGGUGUGAAAAACUCCGGUGGUAUAAGAUGGACCCGCGUCUGAUUAGCUAGUUGGUGAGAUAACAGCCCACCAAGGCGACGAUCAGUAGCCGACCUGAGAGGGUGACCGGCCACAUUGGGACUGAGACACGGCCCAGACUCCUACGGGAGGCAGCAGUGGGGAAUAUUGCACAAUGGAGGAAACUCUGAUGCAGCGACGCCGCGUGAGUGAAGAAGUAAUGCGUUAUGUAAAGCUCUAUCAGCAGGGAAGAUAGUGACGGUACCUGAAUAAGAAGCUCCGGCUAAAUACGUG
rnacentral:rRNA from 1 species